GGGGCUAGACAGCUCUCUGAGGUACCCCACACCACAGGACUGGGACCAUAUUGCUGUGAGAGUCUGGGGCUAUACAGCUCUCUGAGGUACCCCACACCACAGGACUGGGACCAUAUCGCUGUGAGAGUCUGGGGCUACACAGCUCUCUGAGGUACCCCACACCACAGGACUGGGACCAUAUCGCUGUGAGAGUCUGGGGCUACACAGCUCUCUGAGGUACCCCACACCACAGGACUGGGACCAUAUCGCUGUGAGAGUCUGGGGCUAUAACAGCUCUCUGAGGUACCCCACACCACAGGACUGGGACCAUAUCGCUGUGAGAGUCUGGG